AUGGGAAGCCGGGACUUCUUCAGCGGCUGUCCUCCCUCGCUUUUGGAGCUCCGACCUCAGCUUCGCCUGCGAGCUGGGUUGUGUAAAGGCUGGUCAUUUUGGGGCGCUUAGGGGUGGGUGCCGGGGGGCGCGCUUUCCCUCGUGAAGGUCGCUCCAGGAGUCAUGCGUACAUUCGUUCAUUUUGCUCUGGACGCACUGAUGUUCCCGGCUCGCCGCCGUGCCGCAGUCACGAGGCUCUCCGAACGCCUUUCACUGUGUUUCUGUUUACAUUCGCGUCUGCAAGACCCGGCGGCGCGACCGAGGCCCGAACAGAUGGAGAUGGGCUGCCAUGUUGUGAGCUGCCCCAUGGGGAAGAGGCUCACAUGUGAGGAACUGAGGGAGGCCUCCAGAAAACAGCCAGUGAAGAACUGAGACCCUCAGUCCAAUAGCCUAUGAGGAACUGAAUCCUGCUGACAACCAUAUGAAUGAGCUUGGAAGCAGAUCCUUCCCCAGUGAAGCCUUCAUGUGAGACUGCAGCCCACUUGACACUUUGAUUUGUAGCUUGUGACAGACCCCAAGCCAGAAGAGUCAGGUAAGCAGUGCCUGCACUCCUGACCCAUGGCAACUGGCAUGAUAAAUGUUUUUUCCCAUGAAGCUAUGUUUUAGAGUAAUUUGUUUUGCAGCAAUAGAUA
rnacentral:lncRNA from 1 species